CAUAUCAAAAACUUGAUACCACGGAAGAUAAUACACAAAGUACAGAAAUAGCAAUAUAAUAAUACCUUGUAACUUGUAUGUAGCAUUUACACUUUCUGAAAUGUUUUCAUAUAAUCUCAUGGGAUUCUAACAGCAGUUUUCUGAAGCAUUCAGUGUAAGAGGAACCGUAUUUUCCACAGGAUGGACAUAAGUCUCUAAGAAGGACACAUAGAAGGGAAAGAUCUGUGCUGCUGGACUGCAAUUCAUCUAAAAGAGAAGGAAAUAACUCUCUAGUGGAUAUGAACUGUGAAGAAGAAUGAUGAUGCUAUUCUGUGUUCCCUGACUUUGUACCUGGAGAAAUAACAGGACUUGAUCAAUGAAAAUGUUUGGAGCAGGGGAUCUGGAUGAUGAAGAGGUGUUUUGUUGUCUCAUAUCACAGGAAAAAGAAGGUUUAGCAGCACACUAUAGAAUAUUUUGAGAAAGACCACUGCAUGUAACUUUUUAAAAGAAAUG